GAUGAAGAACGCAGCGAAAUGCGCUAAGUAAUGUGAAUUGCAGAAUUCAGUGAAUCAUCGAAUCUUUGAACGCACAUUGCGCCCGGUAGUAUUCUGCCGGGCAUGCCUGUUCGAGCGUCAUUUCAACCAUCAAGCCCCAGCGCUUGUGUUGGGGGCCUGCGGCUGCCGCAGCCCCCUAAAAGCAGUGGCGGGCUCGCUAUCACACCGAGUGCAGUAGUUCAUCUUCUCUCCGGUCUUGUGAGGCGGGUUCCGGCCGUGAAACACCCCACGACAUUCAAGGUUGACCUCGGAUCAGGUAGGAAUACCCGCUGAACUUAAGCAUAUCAAUAAGCGGACGA
rnacentral:misc_RNA from 1 species